GGGUGUGAUCAUACCAGCGUUAAUGCAUUGGAUCCCAUCAAAACUCUGCAGUUAAGCGCGGUUGGGACAGAGUAGUACUGGGAUGGGUGACCUCCCGGGAAGUCCUGGUGUUUCACCCU
rfam:Picea glauca, whole genome shotgun sequence.